GGGCGAUUAGCUCAGGGGUAGAGCACUACAUUGACAUUGUAGGAGUCACUGGUUCAAAUCCAGUAUCGCCCAC
rnacentral:tRNA from 1 species